UCAGGUAUCGGUAGCAACGCAUCCUUAUCUAAUACAACAUCAAACGAUACUUUAAGGUGUCCAUCCGGAGCGGUCUAUGGUGAAGUAAAUCUCCCGAAGUGUUGUGCACUUUUCCCUUGCCAACUAGGCGAUAAGUCGGUGACGAUAAGUAUAGCUGACAAGAUGAAAUGCCCUAAACCAAUAAUAAAUAUGUUACUUUUAAUGUGUAUAUAUUUCAAUUAACAUAAAUGUGCUAUUUUAAUUUCAAAAUAACAUAUAUAAUUACCUCGGGAAAUUUAUUUUGACAAAUUGAUACUGGCUUUCUCACUAGUUUCUUUCAACUGUGAACUGCACUUUUCCAUACAACCUAUAUCUCUCAUUAUCCUUUUGCAAUUGAAGAACUUGCGCUUGUAAUGCCUGCAACGUCUCCAUCACUUCUUGAUUGCUAGGAUUUCUUCUCCUUGGAUUCUUAUACAAGGAAGUUGGAGUACAACCAUGCCCUUUACCCCUCACCC
rnacentral:lncRNA from 1 species